UGGGGAAUUUUGGACAAUGGGCGAAAGCCUGAUCCAGCAAUGCCGCGUGUGUGAAGAAGGCCUUCGGGUUGUAAAGCACUUUUGUCCGGAAAGAAAUCCUUGGCUCUAAUACAGUCGGGGGAUGACGGUACCGGAAGAAUAAGACCGGCUAACCACGUGCCAGCAGCCGCGGUAAUACGUAGGGUGCAAGCGUUAAUCGGAAUUACUGGGCGUAAAGCGUGCGCAGGCGGUUUGCUAAGACCGAUGUGAAAUCCCCGGGCUCAACCUGGGAACUGCAUUGGUGACUGGCAGGCUAGAGUAUGGCAGAGGGGGGUAGAAUUCCACGUGUAGCAGUGAAAAUGCGUAGAGAUGUGGAGGAAUACCGAUGGCGAAGGCAGCCCCCUGGGCCAAUACUGACGCUCAUGCACGAAAGCGUGGGGAGCAAAACAGGAUUUAGAUACCCCUGGUAGUCCACGCCCUAAACGAUGUCAACUAGUUGUUGGGGAUUCAUUUCCUUAGUAACGUAGCUAACGCGUGAAGUUGACCGCCUGGGGAGUACGGUCGCAAGAUUAAAACUCAAAUGAA
rnacentral:rRNA from 1 species